rnacentral:rRNA from 1 species
UACGGGGGGGGCAAGCGUUGUUCGGAAUUACUGGGCGUAAAGGGCUCGUAGGCGGCCAACUAAGUCGGAUGUGAAAUCCCCAGGCUCAACUUGGGAACUGCAUCCGAUACUGGAUGGCUUGAAUUCGGGAGAGGGAUGCAGAAUUCCAGGUGUAGCGGUGAAAUGCGUAGAGAUCGUAAGGAAGACCAGUGGCGAAGGCGGGUCUCUGGACAGUUCCUGACACUGAGGCACGAAGGCCAGGGGAGCAAACGGG